GCAGUAUGACAGAAGAAAUGUAACAACAUGUUGCUAACACUGUGCUAGUAGUAAUUUUUUUCUUCUUUUUUUUCUUUUUCUUUUUUUCUUUUUUUUGUCUGCAAGUCCGCUCAAAAAUUACACCAACGAACCAUGGUGUCAUUACUUAAGCUUCAUGCAAUUUUUUUCUUAUUUGUGACUGUGGCCAUCACCUGCCCUCAUGGCAAAUUAACCUAUCAUGUUUAUUUCAAGCUGUUUCCUAUAUUAUGCCAUUGAGGGCUGUGCACACCCAAGUGAAACAUAAAACAAAGUGAGGCAUAGACCGUGUUCUGAGAGAAAAGGAUUCUAUUUAUUUGUGUUCUUUAAUUCACCCCUUGAAACCAAUUACAAAUCUGAGACCCUUCACAAACACCAGAUACGACAGAAUCCCAACAGGAUCAAUCAUGAAGAUGUCAGGAGACCACAGGAAGGAUAGAAGAAGCAGAGUGAGAUCCACAGACACUAACCCAGCAACCUCCACUGACUCAGUGACCGGAGGAACAGACUCUAUUGAGUUCUGAUCCAGCAAGCAAAGGAGGAAUCUGAAGAAGAAAACAGUGAGGAAGGAAUUGUUGUUCCAGACAUACAAUGCCCACUGUCACAAGAAAGACUUGUUACACUGCAGCAACAAGUAAACCCAACAACAGAGUCCUGCUCUUUUGGUCGGGACAUCGACUUGUGUGCCCUUGAAAUAGCACUUGGACAGUGACAGCGUCUUGUGUAAACAAUAAAAGUGUAUUUUUCAACUGGAAGAA